AUUGAACGCUGGCGGCAGGCCUAACACAUGCAAGUCGAGCGGAUGAAGGGAGCUUGCUCCUGGAUUCAGCGGCGGACGGGUGAGUAAUGCCUAGGAAUCUGCCUGGUAGUGGGGGAUAACGUCCGGAAACGGGCGCUAAUACCGCAUACGUCCUGAGGGAGAAAGUGGGGGAUCUUCGGACCUCACGCUAUCAGAUGAGCCUAGGUCGGAUUAGCUAGUUGGUGGGGUAAAGGCCUACCAAGGCGACGAUCCGUAACUGGUCUGAGAGGAUGAUCAGUCACACUGGAACUGAGACACGGUCCAGACUCCUACGGGAGGCAGCAGUGGGGAAUAGUGGACAAUGGGCGAAAGCCUGAUCCAGCCAUGCCGCGUGUGUGAAGAAGGUCUUCGGAUUGUAAAGCACUUUAAGUUGGGAGGAAGGGCAGUAAGUUAAUACCUUGCUGUUUUGACGUUACCAACAGAAUAAGCACCGGCUAACUGCGU
rnacentral:rRNA from 1 species